UCGGAAGAAGUCGUUUGGAUCCGUUUACUUUCAAAGUCAACACACGUACGUACGUGCUUUCCGGAUAAUGCAACCACGGUCCACGAAUUACGUUUUUUUUUUCUUUUUGGUGUCCAACAAGGUUUAUUUUUGGUCGUUAGUGUCCAAACUUUUUUAAAAAUCACCAAUUUCUUCGGUUAUGGAAUUAUUGCAGUUUCUGUAGUUAAGGCCAAAACUAAUUAAUUCAUCGCCCAUCAACUUAAUCGGUCAUUAGCCACAACUCAUCAUCAGCUACAGAGAUGGAUGGGUAAGGAAGGUAUGGCCGACAAAUUUCAAAACAUCUAGGUUCAACUUCUAAUCUUCUAUUAUGGUUAUGGAGAAAAUAUGACACGUAAAUAUAAGAUGUGAUAGUUCUAAAAUUCUAAUAGAAAAUAUAGUUUUUGCAUUUGUGAAAAUAGUGUUUUGAAUUUCCUCUAAAAUUAUAAUAUGCCUCUUUUUUUUCCUUUCUCUUAAUGAAAUGGGACCGAAGAAUUCGAUGCAGACUCGUACGUCUCUAUUGGAAGGAUGAUAUUUUAUAUUUGUUAAUUGGGAAAAAAUGAUAACCUCACGCAAUAUACGAGAUUUUUUUCUUUCAACUUUGAUCAUGAAGAUCGAGAGCCAAGUGGCCCAAGUCGUACGUACACCUGGAACUAUAUUAACGUAUUUGAAUUUGUCAUGAAAAUUUUGAAAAGACUCUCUAUCUACGUACACGUGACUUGACUUAUUUGAAGACCUAAUAACAUAUAUUAUAUAUAUGGUUAAAGUCAGAAAAAAAUACUUAAAAUUAUGUCGGAGCUUAUGAUAACUUUCUUUUGAUUAGUUAGACAUAAUCCACUGUAAAAUACGAGAACUAAUUAAACCUCUGAACUCUUUGGAAAUGAAGUGUAGGUAGUAUUGAUCAAAACGAAAGUAAAAUUGGGAGGGGGCAAUUAGAGAGGUCCCUCACUAAAAUAAUAAUGCAUAGAAGCGAUUUCAAGAGACCUUUGUAAUUAGGACAGACCACAGCACAUACCGCUGUGUUUGCUCUUGAUACCCCCUCUCCCCCUUCCCACUUGUCCUCAUGGACCCCUUUUGCCUUCAUUCCUAUCAAUUAUUUUCCAAUUAUUAGUUCUUUUUUCUUUCUUUCUUUUUUAAGUUUUCUACUCAUACAAUACAUUACUUUUCGGGAUCAAUAUUGACAUUAUGUUGUUUUUUAAAAAAAAAAUGUUUAAAUAGUAGUAAAUAUAUGCUAAUAAAUUUCAACCAAAUAACACCUUUUUGUUUGUUGGAGUCGACGAAGAUAAUGUUCGCCACAAAAUGUAACUAAAAUCGGUAUAAUAAGGGUGUUUAAAAAGAUGAUAUUAACUUAAAAAAAUUUCACCUAGAGAUAUCCAACACCUAUUUUGAUUUUCCUUUGAAGCUAAAAAUCACCAGUUAGGUCUAUAUUGCGUGCUCAACAAAUGAGUUGACUCUUUAAACAUGGAAACAAACAAAUGAGUUGACUCUAAUUGAACGACCAGACCUUUUCAUACGCAUAUAUGACAUACUCUGUAUUAUUUACGGUAUGGCUAGUUUUUUCGUUGUUGUGGACAAAGUAAGUGCUUGUUUUGGCUAAUUUAAUUGUUUGGGAUCAAAUUUGUGUUAAUAAUUCAAUAUGGUUACGUAUCAAAUUCUAAUGGAUCCUUCAAUGGCUCCCGCGAAGGUUAGUUAAAAUUUGUUUUUUUUGCUUUUGCUUUUUUUUUUUUUUUUUGUCAUACAGUUAUAAGGUGGUGAGAACAUUAUCGUCGGGACAAAGUGACGUCAUGGCGUCUAUACGUCUGCCUCAGCGAUCUUGACGUGGCCUUCUCUCAGAUCCCCUGAUGGCCUUUUAUUUAGCCGACGGCGGCUUUCACUUUAACUUAUUCUCUCCUUCAUUUCCCUCGUCCCUCACCCAUUGUUUUUUGGCGCGUGACAAUCACGUCCGUGACUCCUUCAGAAGAACAACUUUAGCUGAAUCAUUUCCAUCUGAAACAAACAAUAUUGGUCUAUAAAACAUUUUAUAAUGUCCAAAAAUUCGUUGCAUACUAACUUACUAUGUUAAUUUUAACUGUUUUAAACCAUUUAGAAGGUCCAAAA
rnacentral:lncRNA from 1 species